UACAGAGGUCCCAAGCGUUGUUCGGAUUCAUUGGGCGUAAAGGGUGCGUAGGCGGGCGCGGUAAGUCGGGAUGUGAAAUCUCGGAGCUUAAACUCCGAACUGCAUUCGAUACUGCCGUGCUUGAGGACUGGAGAGGAGACUGGAAUUUACGGUGUAGCGGUGAAAUGCGUAGAUAUCGUAAGGAAGACCAGUGGCGAAGGCGGGUC
rnacentral:rRNA from 1 species